CUCCAUAACAUCGCUGUAAGGAGUCGCGUGGAGCUUCCUCAAACAGAGGAAUUGCCUGAUGAGGAGCCAGGGGUUGGGCGGAGAUACGGUGGGGGGAGUGUUUCCCGGAGUGGCAGUCAAGUAAGGGCACACAUUGUGGAAGAAUAUUUCAGCUGAUUGCUCAUACAAAAAGUGGACGACCACAACGGCAAGCUGAUGCAGGGAGGCAACAUCAGGCCCCUUCUCAGCCCCCCUCCCCUUCUCAACCCCCCUCCCCU